UACGUAGGUGGCAAGCGUUGUCCGGAUUUACUGGGCGUAAAGAGCGCGCAGGCGGUCGUUCAAGUCGCGUGUGAAAGCCCCCGGCUCAACUGGGGAGGGUCACGCGAUACUGAUCGACUCGAAGGCAGGAGAGGGUAGUGGAAUUCCCGGUGUAGUGGUGAAAUGCGUAGAUAUCGGGAGGAACACCAGUGGCGAAGGCAGUCCCCUGGGCCUGUACUGACGCUCAUGCACGAAAGCGUGGGGAGCAAACAGG
rnacentral:rRNA from 1 species